UGGCGGCAGGCCUAACGCAUGCAAGUCGUGCGCCCGCAAGGGCGCGGCGAACGGGUGAGUAAUAGAUAGGUAACGUACCCUCGACAGGGAAAUACCCAGCCGAAAGGUUGGCUAAUGUCCCAUAUGCUCACGGGUUGGAAUACCCAUGAGGAAAGCUCCGGCGGUCGAGGAGCGACCUGUCUCCUAUCAGCUUGUUGGCGGGGUAAUGGCCCACCAAGGCAAUGACGGGUAGCUGGUCUGAGAGGAUGGUCAGCCACACUGGGACUGAGAUACGGCCCAGACUCCUACGGGA
rnacentral:misc_RNA from 1 species